rnacentral:rRNA from 1 species
ACGGCGAGUGAAGCGGCAACAGCUCGAAUUUGAAAUCUGGCCUCGGCCCGAGUUGUAAUCUGUAGAGGAUGCUUUUGGCGCGGUGCCUUCCGAGUGCCCUGGAACGGGACGCCACAGAGGGUGAGAGCCCCGUAUGGUCGGACACCAAGCCUGUGUAAAGCUCCUUCGACGAGUCGGGUAGCUUGGGAAUGCUGCUCUAAGUGGGAGGUAAACUUCUUCUAAAGCUAAAUACUGGCCAGAGACCGAUAGCGCACAAGUAGAGUGAUCGAAAGAUGAAAAGCACUUUGAAAAGAGGGUCAAAUAGUACGUGAAAUUGUUGAAAGGGAAGCGCUCAUGACCAGACUUGCGCCGGGCUGAUCAUCCAGUGGUCUCCACUGGUGCACUCUGCCCGGCUCAGGCCAGCGUCGGCUGUCACGGGGGGACAAAAGCACUGGGAAAGUAGCUCUCUCCGGGGAGUGUUAUAGCCCUAUGCAGAAUACCCCCGCGGCGGCCGAGGUCCGCGCUCUGCAAG